rnacentral:sRNA from 1 species
GGCUCCGCCUCCGCCUCUAACCCCUCCCCGCCGGGCCCGGACCACGCUAGCCGCUGCCUAGCCCGGGCUCCCGGCAGGAGGGCGCCCGGGCCCAGUACCCGAGUGCCCCGGUCUCUAGAGGGCUACGGAGCGCGUCUGCCUCCAGGACCGGGUAUUUGACUGAGCAGCCUGCGAAGUAGAGCGCGGAAGGUCCGCAGUGGGUGCGGCGCGGCGCAGUCGGGGCUAGCCCACUUGCUCAGCGUAGCUUUUCUAGAGCGUCGGGGGUCUCGAGGGGCCGGGGUUGGACAGCAGCUGCGCGACUCCGAGGGACUCUUCUCUGCAGAUCCAGGCCCGCACCUAUCUGCAGAUGUUCUUCCAUAGAGCAAUUCUCUGCACUUCUUAGAAACAACUGUUGCUUAUACAACUGUUGCUUAUAGCAGAAGACAGCCUUUAUCUCUUCCAGUGAUCCACAGACUUGAUGAAAUCAGUUCGGGCCUCAGAGAGAAGAUGAAUUGUAAGCAAAAUUCAAAAAUCACGAUUCUGGGGAAAAAGACCCCCAAAUCCAGAGCCCUGUAGUACCAGCCCUGCUAGUUCAACUGAAGGCUGCAGCAUGCCCUGAUCUAAACGGGAAAACACAACAAGGAAAAUAUCAGAAGCACAAGCCAGAGCUGUUGUCCUCCUUACUCAUCCACUCAUCCAUCAAGAUAAGUCAGAGAUCAAAAGGAAUUCCCUCUCCAUCCUCCAAGAAAGACACUUGAGGAGACAAUUAGUAACAUGGUGAGAGGAGCUGGAUCUCAAGUCCCCAAAGCACAAAGUAAGAAGCAGCCAGCUCUGCCAAGAGACAGGAAAAAACCCUGACUGGACCUUCAGAGACAGAUCAGGAGGAUCAAGGAAACUCCAAUCGAGCACAUCACAUGGGUAAAGUCUUCAGACUCUAUGCCUGGUCUGCAGGACAGUGGGCUAGCAAUUCAUAACGGUUGGAGCCUGGGUCAGGAGGGAGAGGAGCCCGUGUGGCUUGGGGAGGUGGCUGUCAAACAACCUGCUGAGGGACUUGAGCUUCAUUCUGGAAGACACAGGAAGAUGUGGCAGGGUUUUGAGAAGGGGUGUGGCUUUGCAAAGACUUCUUUGGCAGGAAGGAAAGUGUGCUAGGUUUCCACAGCAGCCAGCUUAUCAACGUUCCUCCAGCCCUGCUGAAUUCAGAAUCUCAGGACAUCUGUUCCUCCCGCCACCUUCCUGAUGGCCUACUCGUUUUAUUUUGAAGCACAUACAGUAUCUCUUCGUUUCCAGCAUCGUCCCCAUUAUCCACUACUUCCUCCCAACCGCGCUUUCUAAACUGCUGAGGAUGGAAGAGAAAGCAGACUGGACUUGCAGUAUACAUUUCACACAGAGCUGGGUGCAGCCCGGUGACUCGUGCAGACAACAUCUGGGUUUUAGUUGGAAGACGGCCUCUGCAUUGGAUGAAGCUCUUCCCACAGACUGCAGAUGCCCUGUGGAUGGCUACCUUCCUCUCUGUGAUGGACUGCACCCUUGAGCCAGCCCAAAGAAACACUUCUUUCCCUGAGUCACAUUCACCGGGCAUUUUUUCACAGCAAAGAGGAAAGUGACUAACACAAGUUGUUACCCCAUUUCUGCUAGAUCUGGGCUCCUUUCAUUAGUCAACAUGACAUGGAUUGAACACCCACUCUGCCCUACUACUGAUCUACAAUGAAGGUGCCGGAACAAGGAAGUUAUGGGAACAAGACAGAGUUGGUUCAAAGAGAUGAUCGACAACAGCGCAGACAUGAAUGAGCAGGAUAAUGCAUGAUGACAGCCCAGUGAAGACCAUAAAGCAGAGGAUCCGGGGGCCAAGGAGAAUAUGUCUGCCCUGUGGUCAGGGAGGUCAACUUUUGGGGAAGUAUUUAACAUUGUCCCUGAGGCCUGUGCUUUGAAUCUUCUUGGCCCAUUUCUUAAUAUCAUGGCUCUCAUGACUUGAUCUUAGUGCCUUUCCUCCGCCAUUUCAGCUGUAGGACCCCAGGAAGGCUUCUCAGAGCCUCCCACAGCAAGCCAUAUGCUAUCCUACUACUUAUAAACCCACACUCUAUAAUGGUCCUUCACUCUGGCACCUCAUUAUAGAAAGUAGGAUGAAGUUGGCACCGAGAAUGAUUCCUAUUUGCUUCAGCCACAGUAAUCUCUUCAUUUUCUAAGACUUCAGUUAUGUGUGUUCAAUCAUCAUGGGAAAAUAUUGAAAAGAAAAUUAUUAGAAAUAAGCAGUUUAUUAAUUUAAGUGACUUUUAUUAUAGCAUUUUGUUAUAUGGCUCUACUUUGUUAUUAGUUGUUGGUAAUCAUUUACUAUGCUUUAUAAAUUAUUUGUCAAUAUUAAUAUUUGUUUAUAGGAGAAAAGAGUGCAUAUAGGAUUUGAUGCUAUCUGGGUUUCAAGCAUUCACUGGGGGUCUGGGAAUGGAUCCUCUGAGAUAAAAGGGGCAUGUCUCUUUUAAUACGCAUAAGGUUUACACUGCAGUACUGCUAAGUUCACUUUACUAUUUGGGACUCUGCUGAAAUUAUCUCUUUGCAGAGGAAGAGUAUCUCACCACCCACAUCAGCUUCCUCCUUCACCCAGAACAGAUUCCCAGAAAAUAAAAGUUCCUAAGACUGUUCUAGAAAGUUCAGAGACACAGAUGAGAACUUUGCUCUUUAAUCAUGCUUCAGGAAUGCAGGUGUUAUCUGUACACACUAUUAUCAAUUGUCUUUGAGAUCGCUGGCUAGAGUAAGCUUGGUCAUGAUUUCUAAUCAUUAGAGAUAGGUUGGGAGUUUUCAAUUCAUUUAUUCUCUUUAUUGUAGCUAAUUGAAGAAUACGUUGCCUUUGGAUUCAAAUAGCCAUUACUGGUUCUCUUUGCCAAGCCCUAUGCAAGACAUAUCUCCUUGGGAUUUUGUGAUGGCUUAGUGCUCUGUGUCAGGGAUAGAGAGGUGAGGCUCAGGUGAAUUAAGGGCUAGCUCAAAGUCAAAUGUAGGGGUAGAAACACGUGCAAGUCUUCUGACCCCAGUACAUGGACUUGCAGGCUGGAGCUCUCCUACCUUUCUUUUUACACACAGUAUUGACUCACAUCUUGAGGAAACUGAGGUUAAAUGUAAUGCGCAAGCAUUCAUCUUUGUAAAGAUUUGUUUCAUUGGGACCACUGGUUACAAGUGAAAGCUACAGUGGAUGUGUCCAUGACAUAGAUUAAACACGAUUACAGAGGAGGUGGUGUAUCCCUCACAUCUUGACUUCUCUUACGUUUAAUAUAACCCUGAAGAGGACACAGAAGUUCAAAUAGAGCAUAUGGCAUUCAUAAGGUUACAUACAUGUAAUCAUACAUGAUACUUUUAUUGUAAAUAAAAAACACUAUUUAUAAUGGCAACAAGUGCAUUAUACAGAUAAAACAUAGGACUGCAGCUUCAUUAUUUAUUAAAGGAAAGAAAAAAAAUCUACACAAGUGAUCGGGGAAACAUAGUCUUACUCUGGUGGCAUUUGUCCCUAGAUUGUCCCUAGAUUGCUUUACAGAUUUCAUCACAAUUCAAAUCAAAAUCAUAGCAGGAAUUUGUGGGAUUGUGAUAAACUCAUUUUGAGUUUUCUAUGAAAGUAAUAAAGGCUUUUGAGUAAUCAACACUGAAAAAGAAAACACAGGAAUGGGAGCACUCGACUAGUAAAUGAGACAUUGUUGAGAAGGUGCAGAACAAACAAAUAAACCGAUGGAGAAUCCCUAAAGCAAGGUCACUUGUGCUGCAGUGCACUGACAGAACUCAACACAGCAGCUGUUCUUCAUCGGAGAGGCUGCGACCAUGUAAAAUCAGGAAAUCUUCAAGAUCAGGCCUGUUGACCACUGAUGCUCCCUUACAGGGGAAAAGGUGGAGAGAACAUGGGGAAGCUUAUUACACCUUCUCUUGAGACUCCAGCUUUUUCUUCCUGAACCUCCCAGCCAGUUGUAUAUAAUUCUGUUCCACCUGCACAUGGUCUCAUAGUCUUGGGAGUAUACAGUCUGUGGCAGGCUAGUGGAAGGGAGUGACUCCAUAUUUGCAGUGGUGGGGAAGUCACCCAUCAUUGACAUUGGGAGUGGUUGUGUGGCUACUUUGGGGUCAUUAAUAUACCUAUAAAUAAUUCUUCACCCAUGCUCUGUAAGUAAAAAUAAAGUUAUUAACUCAC